rnacentral:rRNA from 1 species
UACGUAGGCAGCGAGCGUUGUUCGGAGUUACUGGGCGUAAAGGGUGUGUAGGCGGUUCUUUAAGUUUGGUGUGAAAUCUCCCGGCUUAACCGGGAGGGUGCGCCGAAUACUGAGGGACUUGGAGUGCGGGAGAGGAAAGUGGAAUUCCUGGUGUAGCGGUGAAAUGCGUAGAUAUCAGGAGGAACACCGGUGGUGUAGACGGCUUUCUGGACCGUAACUGACGCUGAGACACGAAAGCGUGGGUAGCAAACAGG